GCUGCCUUGGCGCAGUCUGGUAGCGCAGCUGUCUUGUAAACAGCAGGUCGUCAGUUCGAAUCUGACAGGCAGCU
rnacentral:tRNA from 2 species